rnacentral:rRNA from 1 species
UUCCGGUUGAUCCUGCCGGACCCCACUGCUAUCGGGAUAGGACUAAGACAUGCUAGUCAAGCGCUUUCUAGCUAAUGUGAGAGCGCGGCGUACAGCUCAGUAACACGUGGCCAACCUGCCCUUGGGACGGGAACACCCCCGGGAAACUGGGGUUAAUUCCCGAUAGGUGAAGAAGUCUGGAAUGAUUCUUCGCUCAAAAGACGUUUAUGUCAUGCUCAUAUUCGUCGCCCAGGGAUGGGGCCGCGACCGAUCAGGUAGUUGGUGAGGCAAUGGCUCACCAAGCCUUUUACCGGUGCGGGCCGUGAGAGCGGGAGCCCGGAGAUGGGCACUGAGACAAGGGCCCAGGCCCCACGGGGCGCAGCAGUCGCGAAAAUUUUGCAAUACACGAAAGUGUGACAGAGCUAUCCCGAGUGCCAUCCGCUGAGGAAGGCUUUUACCCAGUAUAAAUAGCUGGGAGAAUAAGGAGAGGGCAAGUCUGGUGUCAGCCGCCGCGGUAAUACCAGCUCUCCGAGUAGUGUGGACGUUUAUUGGGCCUAAAGCAUCCGUAGCUUGCUAGAUAAGUCCUCUGUUAAAUCCACCGAUUCAAUCGUUGGAUUGCGGGGGAUACUGUUUGGCUAGGGGACGGGAGAGGUCGACGGUAUUUCCGGGGUAGGGGUGAAAUCCUAUAAUCCCGGGAGGACCACCAGUGGCGAAGGCUGUCGACUAGAACGCGCCCGACGGUGAGGGAUGAAAGCUGGGGGAGCGAACCGGAUUAGAUACCCGGGUAGUCCCAGCUGUAAACGAUGCAGGCUAGGUGUUUGGGCGGCCACGAGCCGCCCUAGUGCCGCAGGGAAGCUGUUAAGCCUGCCGCCUGGGGAGUACGGCCGCAAGGCUGAAACUUAAAGGAAUUGGCGGGGGAGAACCACAAGGGGUGAAGCUUGCGGUUUAAUUGGAAUCAACGCCGGA